UUUCACCGUGUUAGCCAGGAUGGUCUUGAUUUCCUGACCUCAUGAUCCGCCCAUCUCAGCCUCCCAAAGUGCUGGCGUGAGCCACCGCACCCGGCCAAAAGUUUUUCACAAUUCUGGUUUUAGUGGUUUUUUUUUUUUCCUAAGUCUUGGUUUUCCAUAUCACUGUGAAUCUUGAUCACUUCACAUCUUUAUAGGUAUUUUAGCGGGAAGUCUGAAGAAGCUACCAAGAAGACAUUUCAAUAUGCACAAUUCUAAUUUAACAUUAAGAUGUUUUAUUUCAGCAAAAAUAAUAUAUUCUGUCAGAUUAAUACCAAUACCAGCUUAUUUUGAUGGAUAGGUGCAUUAUGCAUGUAAAAGCAACUUUAAUCUAUAAUAACAACAUUAGAUAUCUUAUUGAUAUGUUAGUAGACAUUUUUUCUAGUAUGGAAAAAUCAGAGCACAAUAAUAUCAAAAGAAUGUUGGAAGAGUUCUGAUAGUGGAAUAUGGGAACCUGCAUUUUUUUGAAUUAUACUAGAUUUUUAAACGUUACACUUGAAAAAAAUUAAAAACAAGUAAAACAAAUACUUUCACACAGAAAUUAUGAAACACUGGGAUUAAAACUAAAGGCACUCUUUCACAUGCCUUCCAGGGUGUUCCAACCCCAUGGGAAAUGCCUGCGUCUCAAAAUAAUAAGAACACCUUGUGUGAGAGGUUGCCAUGACAGCACAUAGGGCAGCAGGUGCCCCAUUGUUCUCUCUCUACAAAGACUUCACAGCAAUUUCUCAUCUCUCACUUAAAAGCUACUGACCAAGAUGCUGCCUUGUACAGGGGCUAACUCUGUGUUCAAUUGCAUUAGCACUGGAAAUCAGGAGAGCAAAUGGUCAGCCACUGGAUCCACAAACACAAUUGAAUUUGAUCCAAAUAAUGUUGGCAGAGCUCAGUCACAAACUGUGAGGAAAGUGACCAAAAUUGCCACUUCACAAUCUUGAAGAAUAUUUACGUAGAAUACUUUUCUCACAAUAUUCGAAUAAAUGUCAACAGACACAGAGAGACUUCAUUUGAAACAUGGAAAUAUAAGCAUUAUCUUUAUCUUUAAAAAUUAACAUAGACAUUUCAAAUUAUUUUCAAGUUUAUGUAUACAGACAUUUGAACUUGAACACACAGUUUCUCUUCCUAUGCCUUACCAUCCAAUACACUUUAUCUUAGUCCUUGAUAGAACCAACUGUGCAACUAGCCAUUAUUCAUCAAAGUGAAGUCCAAUGUUGAAUUAUUAGCAAUUUGCCUCCAAAUGACCACACUCGCUCCCCAGAAAUGGUUCUGAACCAGGCUGAAAUGGCUGAAAUAACAAACAUACAAUUUAGAAUCUGGAUAGGAACA
rnacentral:lncRNA from 1 species